UAAAGAGUGAACAAGUCUAUAUGGCAUGC
rnacentral:sRNA from 1 species